rnacentral:rRNA from 1 species
UAGGGAAUCUUCCGCAAUGGACGCAAGUCUGACGGAGCAACGCCGCGUGAGUGAAGAAGGAUUUCGGUUCGUAAAACUCUGUUGUUAGAGAAGAACAGCGCAUAGAGUAACUGUUAUGCGUGUGACGGUAUCUAACCAGAAAGCCACGGCUAACUACGUGCCAGCAGCCGCGGUAAUACGUAGGUGGCAAGCGUUGUCCGGAUUUAUUGGGCGUAAAGCGAGCGCAGGCGGUCAAUUAAGUCUGAUGUGAAAGCCCCCGGCUCAACCGGGGAGGGUCAUUGGAAACUGGUUGACUUGAGUGCAGAAGAGGGGAGUGGAAUUCCAUGUGUAGCGGUGAAAUGCGUAGAUAUAUGGAGGAACACCAGUGGCGAAGGCGACUCUCUGGGCUGUAACUGACGCUGAGGUUCGAAAGCGUGGGUAGCAAACAGG